rnacentral:sRNA from 1 species
AUAUCUCUCCGUACGGGAAGGAUGAGAAGCUUCGAUUAAGGUUCGAUUCGAGCGCAGCGAGAAAGCGUUGCCGCAGGCAACGACCCGAAGGGCGAAGCGCGAGUCAUCCUUCCCCCACCACCA